UACGUAGGGGGCAAGCGUUGUCCGGAAUUAUUGGGCGUAAAGAGCUCGUAGGCGGUCUGUUGCGUCCGCUGUGAAAACUCGGGGCUUAACCCCGAGCCUGCAGUGGAUACGGGCAGACUAGAGGUAGGUAGGGGAGAAUGGAAUUCCCGGUGUAGCGGUGAAAUGCGCAGAUAUCGGGAGGAACACCGGUGGCGAAGGCAGCACUCUGGGACGUGACUGACGCUGAGACGCGAAAGCGUGGGGAGCAAACAGG
rnacentral:rRNA from 1 species